rnacentral:rRNA from 1 species
UAAUCUGGUUGAUCCUGCCAGUAGUCAUAUGCUUGUCUUAAAGAUUAAUCCAUGCAUGUGUAAGUAUAAGUAUUGUACAGCGAAACUGCGAAUGGCUCAUUACAUCAGUUAUAAUUUAUUUGAUAAUCGAAAGUUACAUGGAUAACCGUGACAAAUUACAGCUAAUACAUGCAGUCAGACCUGGUCCAAGGGUCGUAAUUAUUAGUAUUAAACCAUUUCCGCAAGGAGUGUGAUGAAUCAUAAUAAUCGAACGAAUCGCCUGUUGUGCGAUAAAUCAUUCAAGUUUCUGCCCUAUCAGCUUUGGAUGGUAGUGUAUUGGACUACCAUGGCAGUCACGGGUAACGGAGAAUUAGGGUUCGAUUCCGGAGAGGGAGCCUGAGAAACGGCUACCACAUCUACGGAAGGCAGCAGGAGCGAAAAUUGCCCAAUCCCGACACGGGGAGGCAGUGACGAGAAAUAACAACUCUUGGUUAUUCUAAGAAGUGUAAUGAGGAUAAUUUAAAACCCUUACCGAAAGCAAUUGGAGGGCAAGUCUGGUGCCAGCAGCCGCGGUAAUUCCAGCUCCAAUAGCGUAUAUUAAAGUUGUUGCAGUUAAAAAGCUCGUAGUUGAAGUUCUGGCUGUUCGAUCCUCGAGCUCUGUAGCCGAGGACUCGACAGUCAUCCGCUUGCAAAUAUAUGUUCGCCUUUAAUCGGGCGGCUAUAUGAGUAAGCAUUUUACCUUGAGAAAAACAGAGUGUUCCAGGCAGGUUUGUCCGGAAUGCAUUAGCAUGGAAUAAUAGAAUAUGACUGAAGUCGAUUUAUUGGUUUGAGGCUUUAGUAAUGAUUAAUAGGAACAGUCGGGGGCAUUGGUACUUGACAGUCAGAGGUGAAAUUCUAGGAUUUGUCAAAGACUAACAAAUGCGAAAGCAUUUGCCAAGGAUGUUUUCAUUAAUCAAGAACGAAAGUUAGGGGAUCAAAGACGAUCAGAUACCGUCCUAGUCUUAACUAUAAACUAUACCGACUCGGAUUCAGAUGAAUCAUAAAGUUCAUCUGGGACCGUAGGAGAAAUCAAAGUUUUUGGGUUCUGGGGAAGUGUGGUCGCAAGGCUGAAACUUAAAGGAAUUGACGGUUUUGCACCACCAUGGAGUGGAGUCUGCGGCUUAAUUUGACUCAACACUGGGAAACUCAUCAGGGCAAGAAGAUUGUAGGAUUGACAGAUUGAGAGUUCUUUCUUGAUUGGUCUAGUGGUGGUGCAUGGCCGUUCUUAGUUGGUGGAGUGAUUUGUCUGGUUAAUUCCGUUAACGAACGAGACCUUAGCCUA